AUAUUUUUAACUACUUGAACCUUUCUUGUUAUAAUUCUUAUUAUUUAUUUUUUUAGUUGAUGUGUGAUGCUGAUAAUACAGAGACAGCUAGAGUGACAGAGUUUGAUGAAUAAACUUAAAUUAAAAAACAGAAAUAACCACCAUCUCUCUCAGAGGUCGUCUUUCUCAUUAUUGUGGGGAAACCUCAAAGGGCAUCAGGAAAACCUUCAUCAACCUCUUUGUGCCCAGUGGCUUGUGCAACAGUGUUUCAGAAAUUAUCAUUAAAAUGGGGAUAAUGGAUGACUGGCCACACAUAUGGGGCUAUUGACAAGCUUCAGAGCAGGCUGCUAG